rnacentral:rRNA from 1 species
UACGUAGGGUGCGAGCGUUAAUCGGAAUUACUGGGCGUAAAGUGUGCGCAGGUGGCUCCGCAAGUCGAGUGUGAAAUCCCCGAGCUUAACUUGGGAAUUGCGCUCGAAACUACGGAGCUGGAGUGUGGCAGAGGAAGGUGGAAUUCCACGUGUAGCGGUGAAAUGCGUAGAUAUGUGGAGGAACACCGAUGGCGAAGGCAGCCUUCUGGGCCAACACUGACGCUCAUGCACGAAAGCGUGGGGAGCAAACAGG